AGUAAUGGCUAGCUAAUGAUAUUUAAUAAGACACGAACCUUUACCCAGAUACGUACUACGUUAAGCCCCUGCACUGCCAUGUCUGAGGUGUUGGGAAAGAGAAGCUUGUUGGGUAUUGCUGUAGUGUUGAUAUGGCUAGUGCUGUUCCACCUGCUGGUCAACCUCUGGCUGCUGUGUGUGUUCACCAGUUUGCUGGUGGUGCUUGGGGGCUGGCUUGGCUCACAGGCAGUCCUGGAGUCCAAAAAUAUUGUCCACCUGGAAAGGUUUAUCACACUUAAACAGGUUUUGUCUUCUGUGGAGGAUGAACAAAACUUGGAUAAGGAGAUUCAUAGUACAGUGAGGAAAAUCAUUCGGGAUUUUGUCAACUCCUGGUACUCCAGUGUGUCCUCUGAGAGUGGUUUCGAAAUAGAGGUUCAAGAGGCCAUGAUCGUUAUGGCUAUGGAGCUGAAAAUGCGUGCAAGACAGAUUGACAGGAAGGAACUGACACGAAGGAUCCUGGAUUUGUUUGGUAGCCACUUGCAAGAUUACAUUACAGCCAAGGAGCUAGUGAUUGAGCAGGAGACACCAUUAACAGGGAAGUGGGGCAGUGAAAGUCAGCGGCUUUGGAAAGCCUUCUCCAAUGUUGCCACGCCCCAUCUUGCUAUGGCCAGUGACACAGUUAAACUUAACUACACCAGAGCAGUUGUAGAUAUGUUGCUGCACGUUUUGGUGCCAUCAGUGCACUUGGAGUCCCGCACUGGACGGUUUGUUGUAGGAGAGCUCAUCACUUGCAAUGUUUUUCUUCCUCUUAUUGCAAAAUUAUCUGACCCAGACUGGUUAAAUCUCCUUGUGACUGAUUUUUUUGAAAAGUCCAGUGUAACCCAAUUACCAAUUGCAACUGAGCUAUUAACUUCAUCCCUACCACCAUCAUCAGCUCCACAUGUUAAAUCGGAGCUUACACCCCUACAAGAUCCUCAAAAGAAUGCCGAUGGUCCCCUACCAGGAGCCAAGACUGAAAUAGUCCAUGUGGCACAGAUACCUGAGCUUUCUGACUAUCAUGUGGUUGACCUUAAAAGGGUAGAUUCUCCACAUAGCAAAAAUGAAGACGAAGAAAAUCUAUUUUUUCAAAAGCAUUAUAUGAGAGGGAGCAAGCCAAAUCCCUUCUACCAGGAAAAUGAUUUUGAUGUGGAUUCUCGUUUGCCUGAUUGUAAUCAGAGAUCAACUGAUUUUCUUUUUAUGAUAGAUCAGCGGGAAGUUGUGGAUAAGAAACAGAAUAACAGUAUAUUAUCUGAUGAAACCAGUGCAAUGAACUUGGGUGUUUGCUCUUAUCCCGUGGAUGGCCCCUUCCCUGAAGUUCAGGUGGAUUCAGAACAUGUGGAACAUCAAAAUGGCUGUGUCCACUCACCAUCUAAAUCAGCAGAGACAGUGCCUUUUAAGAGUAAAAUCCAUGCCCGAGAGAAAGCAGACAGUUCUCUUUCAGUAAACCCAAACAAGGACCUCCUUCUGUAUGUAGAACAGACUGGGUUGGGAAACCAUAACGAGCUGUCUGUAGUAAGCAAUGUAAGUAUGCAAGUGUCAUCCACUAUGCCAUCCUUCAGUUUCGACCCUCUCUGCAGUCCAGAGGGACCAGCCAUUAUCCAGAACCUCCGCAUCACUGGUACCAUCACAGCUAAGGAACACAGAGGCACAGGCUCACACCCCUACACCCUUUAUACCAUCAAAUACGAGACGGCAUUGGGAUGUGACAAAUCCAUUCAGUCAGGCUCUGAGGAUGCUGAUAUUUUACAGUCAAGUUGGGAGAAUCCAUCUUCUAUUCAGCCAGUAGCAUAUCACACAGUCAACAGACGAUACAGUGAGUUUCUUAACCUGCAAACACGGUUGGAGGAAAAAGUAGAACUACGGAAACUCGUUAAAGGUGUGAAAGGUCCCAAAAAAAUAUUUCCAGACAUGCCUUUUGGGAAUAUGGACAGUGACAAGAUAGAGGCUCGAAAAGGUUUGCUUGAAACCUUUCUGAAGCAACUCUGUGCCAUUCCUGAGAUAGUCAACAGCGAAGAGAUGCAAGAGUUUCUGGCUCUUAACACAGAUGCUAGGAUUGCUUUUGUCAAGAAACCUUUCAUUGUGUCACGCAUAGACAAGAUUGUGGUGAAUGCUAUUGUGGACACUCUGAAAACGGCAUUUCCUCGUUCUGAACCACAAAGCCCCACAGAGGAGAAUGAGUCAGAGGUGGAUGGAGGGAAAAUAAGUGCAGACAAGAAGAACAAGUCUCGGCUAAAGUUGUCUAGUAAAAACAAUACCUUUAUGAAUGGCUCUGAUGUAAAACCACAAGUUUUGUUCAGCUGUGAGCAAAGUAGCACAAUGUUUAACAGGAUGUCCUUGGAAGAAUUGCAAGGCUUCAUUACUGAACAAGAAAAACUGGUCAUAAAAGCUGAGACGAUGAGGGAGGACAGUCCCGUAGUCAGUGAACUUAGCGGCUGCAUGGAUGACACUUUGAGUGAAAAAUUUAUAUCUGAACAUGGUAAGCGGAGACAAGGCGCAGCCUCUGAGAUGGGACUGGCUGAGGUGGCUCUAAACAUCCUGUGUCUUCUGAUGAGGGAGCAGUGGAGCUGGCUCUGUACAGAAAACAUUCAGAGGACCACCAGACUGCUGUUUGGAACCCUUAUUGACAGAUGGCUAGAUGUGAAUGUAGCCAACCUGACAUGUACCAGGUACUGGGUGGUGUACCUGCAGGUUAUCCAGGAGGCUGUAUGGCCAGGUGGAGUUCUACGAAUGAAACCUCAAUUAGAACGAAGCCAGCAACAGAAGGAUGCCACCAGACAACAUGCUUUACAUUGUCUGAUGAGAUUCCUACCAGAUUUAGUGUUGGAUAUGUUGGGCUCAGAUAACUACAAACGCAGCUGGCAGACUGUGUUGGAGUCACUUCAAAACCCCUAUAUUAACAGACACCUAAUCUACUGUAUAUUUGACCUCCUGCUGGAGUUCAUUGUUCCUGAAAUACCUGAAGUGAACUUCCAGAGGAACCUACUGCAGACCCUGUCCAAAAAUCCAGAGAAUACGCUGGCAUAAAAAUACAACCCAGAGACCCACCAGAUUUACUUUUAAUCCAUUUCUGAAAUGCAGUGUGACAUGAUGGCUCGUCCUGUUCCACUGCUUUUUUUCACUGAAAGUUAGCUGAUAUUGCAGCUGGAGGACACAGGCCACAGCAUGGAUGCCUCACCGACUCCCACAAUGUCUGCAGCCAUCACGUUGUGGGCAGACUCACCAGCCACUACAAGCCACAUGAAAGGAUUCCUCUCUGAAGCUUCAGAGACUGUGAAUCUGUCAUACAAGCGUGUGUGUCUGACACAGACACCUGCUUAUGACAAUCUUCUGUAAACGAAAACUAGGAAAAGAGAAACAGCAGAGUGAGCUAUAUCUGCCGUCCUUGGAGACGUGCUCUGCCACAGACACUGGUUGAAACAACAACAGGAGAGGCUUCAGACGUGAUUGGCCCAAUAGAGCUGCAUGUGAGGAUCCAAGAAAUGUCUGCCAUCGAAGGACAACUGUCCCAUGCUACAUCAGGCUCCACCCGCUCGGGCGCUCACAGUAGACUGAUGGCUGGGGAAGAAGGAAGGUGAUGGUUUCUUUUCACUUGACCCAGAAGACGGUACCACACACACGCACAUUUCCAUGCAUGCAAUGAAGAAACACGCUUACAGCUGAUACACACUCAGUUGAACCAAAUCUUUGCUCAAUUGAUCCAUAGUCAUGCUUGUCUGAUUGCAGUGAAGACUGGCCUUUUGCUAAAAACAUCCUACAUCCUUUAAAAUGAUAACAGACAGCUAAAUGACAACUGCUGCAUGACAUGGCAGGGUGAUGGGUUUAAACAAUUUCAACUUGCAAAACAUUCAGUAAUAAAAUCAUGUUUCUAAAUAGAUUUGUUUACACUAUACUGUAGGUUUAGGCUGAAACAGACUAUUAAUGACUAUUAAAGGGGAGAAGACUCAAAAUUCACAAGUAAUAAUAAAUGAACGUACUAGACUAUUAAAGAAAAAUGUACUGUUUUGGUAAAUGAACGUACCAGACUAUUAAAGAAAAACGUACUCUUUUACUGUCUUGUGCAACAUCUGACAGCGAAACACCUAAAAACUCCUUUUUGCUUUCAAACUUAUGCUCAGUUAAACUAUUAGGAAGAGAUCUUAAAGCAUGUGUAGUUUAGGUAUUUGCAUUAGAAUAGAGAGCAGAAACAAUCGGAGCAUUUGCUCUUGGCAUGACGUGUGUGUGUGUGUGUGUGUGUGUGUGUGUGUGUGUGUGUGUGUGUGUGUGUGUGUGUGUGUGUGUGUGUGUGUGUGUGUGUGUGUGUGUGUGUGUGUGUAUGUGGUGUGUGUGUGUGUGUGGCGAGUGCAAACAAUUCUUCCCCAGAGUUGUUAUCUCCUUUUUUUCCUGUUACUCUCAUCACUUUUGUUUCUUUUAGGGCUUUAGUUUUGAUAGUUUUGCUUUUUCAAAUCUCAUCUUUUGUAUCUAACUUUUCUUUUAAAGGUGCAUAUGUCUUUUACACUAAGUGAUUCUCCUUUUGAACCCAUAACCAGUUUCCCACUCAUGUAAACAUGACGCACUAAUAACCAUAUUUACUUUUACUUUUGUAAUGCUGCAGUCUGGUGGUGGAGACUUAGAUCGCCCCGAACCCAUCUUUCAGAGUCCCGGCGGUUUCCUGCUUUAGACUUUUUUGUGUUCCGGCCGGAACCUUUUUUCGAAAUUUCUCUUCCACGGACGUCUCCGUAGAAAGGGAACCGCUCAGAUCAGCGACAGGGUUCUCGGAAGUGCUCCCUCACCGUCAGGCCCCUCUAAGACCCGGGUCCCUCGUAUCUCAAGAACACUUUCCCCUGCAAACGCGCUCCGUAUUUCAGAAGCCGUCUUUUAUUUCCUUGUCCACACCCUUUGGACUGCGCUCAGAUCUGAACACUGGUCUGUAUCCUCAGUACAGACAAAAACAAGCUACGUUCCACGAGCCAACCCUUAGCAACCACCGUCUCGGCCACCAGGGCAGACUUUGACCUAAUUCAUUUUACCCGAAUAUUAAAUUUUAAAAUUAUAAUUUUUUUCCCCUAAUAUUAUAUUUUAGAUGUUUUCAGCCAAAUAGUCGUUUGAGAAAUAUUAUCAUCUCUAGUCCUUAUUAUGUUUUCUUUUAUGUUUUAGUCUAGUAGGGGAUGCUUUAGAAUUAAUUGUUAUUUGCCUUACUUUCCUUAAACCAAAUGAUCAGAGCCAAGUAAACCCCGAAUACCUGAAACCAAUGUCAAACCCGUUUUCUUUUUUUUUUCCUCGAUAAGUCGCGACAAAACGGAAUCUCUCUCACCGAGCCGAGUAGAGGUUGGAUUUCGAGUUCGUUGGAUCUCGUCAGAGGCGAUCCAGACUGGUGAGCAGUCCUCCCACUCUAGAACAGCUGUAAAGGUUCGGAGGCUGAGCGACACUAGUCCUCAGGACUAUCGUCCCUGGUCACACCGUCCAGACGACCUGCAGCGGGAUCCUGUUCGUAAACGUCAAUUUCUGUGGUGGAAAUUUUCCAUAAAGAAGCAGAUGAGAGAGUUGUCCUUUUGUGCGAUUUAUUGAAAUAAUAAAGAAAAUUAAAAUAAUGGGGAAAGCAAAUAAAAAGCAUGGAUGUUGAUCGUGCACAUCAACAAACCAAAAACCAGCUGGGGAGAUCAGUGCACGCACCACGGAGGUGUGAUGCAAAGAGCCCACGAUCCUCAAGUUGUCUCUGCCUUUUAACCCCUUUCUCUGGCUCUGGUGGAAUGUCUCUCUUUGUGCCACUUUAUCUCGCUGUGAGUGAGAAUGUUUGCUUUCUCACUUCUGCAUCAUCAUGUCUUGUUAUCCAAAGGAAGGAACACCGAGCUUCCAAGACAAGAUGCAUUCGCUUUAACAGCCUUGGGUCUGGUGGGGAGUUAGAUAGGAUGGAGCCAGAGUCCGGGUGUAAAAGACAAACAUCCAUCCAUCCAUUUUCUUAACCGCUUACUCCCUAGUGCGGGGUCACGGGGUGCUGGAGCCCAUCCCAGCUGGCUACGGGCGAGAGGCAGGGUACACCCUGGACAGGUCGCCAGUCCAUCGCAGAGCAACACAUAGACAGACAACCAUUCACUCACACACUCACACCUACGGGCAAUGGAGAGAGGCCAAUCAACCUAAUACACGUCUUUGGACUGUGGGAGGAAGCCGGAGAACCCGGAGAGAACCCACGCAAGCACGGGGAGAACGUGCAAACUCCACACAGAAAGGCGCCAGGGUCGCCUCCGGGAAUCGAACCCAGAAGCUUCUUGCUGUGAGGCGACAGUGCUACCCACCGCACCACGCCCUAAAAGACAAACAUAUAUCAUAAAUUAUUAGUCAGUCAAAUGGAACAUCAGAUGUUUAGACUUGAUGUACGUCAGGGCACAAGAGAGUAUUUGUUUGUGUAAGAAUGUUCAGUAUUGCACCUAACCAGCACAUGACGAGUGUGUUGGAUAAGAAAUAGCACAAGGCAAAAUUUUUCCAUUACAACAUCAAUACGUAGAGAGAUGAUAAUUUCCGCCAGACAUCUGGAGAAAAACGCAGGAGACACGUUUUGAAAUUGUGGGUGUGACUGCAAUCUUUAGUCCUCAAACAUAAAAUUCAAACCAGUUGCUCAUUAAAGCUUUGGGAUUCAUAAAGUGAAGUUAUUUCUUUCAUAACUAUUAUUAUUCUGGAAUAAGCCUAUUCAUCAGUGUUGAAACUCUGCUUUCACAGAGCAGAGUGAGCCUGAGUUUCCCGUUUUUCGUCUCCAUGGCAACGACGCUCUCUAUUCUAAUGCAGAACUGAGCGCGAUGAGGAUAAAUCCGGAUCUGGACUCCUUUCCCACCAUCAGCAGAAAAACCGAAGGAGAAGAAGCGCCUGACCAACAACCAGAAGCUCUGAUACCACAGCAGCUGGAGGACACAGACCACAGCAUGGACGCCUCAGCGACUCCCACAACGUCUGCAGCCAUCACGUUCUGGGUUCAUCAGAUAAACCAGCUACUACAAGCGUGUGUGUCUGACACAGACACGUGCUUAUGACAAUCAGCAAAGGAAAACAAGGACAGAGCAACAGCAGAGUGAGAAGACGUGCGCUGACACAGACACUGGUUGAAACAACAGGAGAGGCUUCAGACGUGAUUGGCCCAAUAGAGCUGCAUGCGAGGAUCCAGGAAAGGUCUGUCAUCGAGGAACAACUGUCCCAUCGAAAGGCUUCACCCACUGGCGCUCACAUGGGACUGAUGGUUGGGGAAGGAGGAAGGUGACGGUUCCUUUUCACGUGACAUAGAAGACGGUACCGCAAAUCAUACAUACACACAUUUAUACACGCAAUGAAGAAACACGCUUAGAGCUGAUACACGCUCAAAUUCAUGCUUAUCUGCUUCCAAUGAAGAAUCGCUUUUUGCUCAAAAAAAAUCCCACAGAGUGAUUUUAAAUGAUGACAAACAGCUAAAUGACAACUGCUGCAUGACUUUGCAGUCUGAUGGGUUUAAACAAUUUUAACUUGCAACAAAUUCAGUAAUAAAAUCCUUCAUGUUUCUAAAAAGAUUUGUGCACAAUAUAGGUAUGUCUAGCCAGACUGUAGGAAAACAAAGCAGACUAUAGGAAAACAAAACAAAAACAAAACCAGACUAUAGGAAAACUGAAACUGACUGAAACAGACUAUUAAUGACUAUUAAAGGGAAGACGACUAUUAGAGAGAAGUAAUAUUAAUCACUGUACGUACCAGACUAUUAAAGAAAAACUUAUUCUUUCACUGUCUUGUGCAACAUCUGACAGCAAGACACCUUGAGAUUUAUUGUUGCUUUCAAAUUUAUGGCCAGUUAAUUUUUUAGGAAGAGAUCUCAUGUGUAAUUUAGGUAUUUGAUUGUUUUCCAGCAGGUUACAGCUACAGACAUUCUAAAUAAUCUCUCUUUUGUUGUUGUUAACCUCAGCUUAGCUGUGCUCUUAUCAUUAGCUGCUGAGGGGAAGCUGUAACUGAGGCCCUCACACAGGCUGCAUCACAGCUUGUUUCCCCAUGUGAUAAGACCUCCAGAGACGCAUCUGACCUGUCCUGUACAGCACAUGUGUCUUCUGGUCCUGAUGACAGGUUUGAAGAGUUAUGAUUUAACACACACAGUAACAAACUGACCGCAACUUCCCUCUUUUGGGAUGAACACAGGUCUGCGCUUGCGAUUUCUUUUACUAACGAACAAAAAAAUUUUUGAUUUUUAUUCUACAGUUCCACACGUCACUCUGUGAAAACAUGAUGGAGACAGAUGCAGGACGUGGGUGCUUUCGUGAACAGAUGUCAACGGGGUGGAGACUGGUGAACGACUUCCGACCCCAUGUGACGUAUUUACCCACAUUACAUGCUUUUGCUUUUAUUUUUACUUUUCACAGGACGGUCUGACCCAACACUCAGCCUUACAGGAAGCCCCUGCUUCCCUGUGGCUCACACACAGACAUGAUGUAGGUCUAAUGAGAGGAUGUGAACCAGUGGUCAUCACACCUAAAUCUGACCACAGACCAUGUAAAUAACAACACCCUCUUAAAGGAAGCCAUACUGUAGAUGGCAUUACUGCAGACACCACUAAUCUACUGAAACAUUGGAUGCUACAGGCCACAAAGAGCCUGUCUAAAUUACAGUUAGUUCAGACAAAGGUCAUUUUUCUGGGUCAUUGUAAUUACAGCUGAUGGCAAAUCUAUCUCACCCAACAGAGUUGAAGCAAUUUGAAACCUGCCUAAACCGUGCAAGUAAAAACAGCUUAUUUUUUUCUAGGGUUUUGUUCUUACUGUAGGACCUUCAGUCCUAACUUUACCUUCUCUGAGGCCCCACUCAGGGUUCUGAUGCAGACAUCUUCAUCGUCCACUUCUUGUCUCACGUGGACAUCUGAGGCUGAACAACGUUCACUGACCUCAUGCUUGCUCUUCAGUCGGCUCCUACUUUGGGUCUUCCUGAUCUGACCCUACGCGACCUUUCACUCAAACAGUGGAGAAAUCAGGUUGUACGACUUCUGUUCUUUUGUCCUCAUACUGUGUCUUUGAUUCUUUUGAAAUAGAUCACAUCUUUCUGUCAUGAUUUGGGUUUUGUUUCCAGUUGUUUACUGUCAUGAUUCAUGUCAUCUGGCACAUCCUGUUUUAUUUUGUUAACUUCCUGUCACUCUCCGGUUCUCAUUAUCCACACCUGUUGCCAGUCAGCAAUCAGUAUCAGUAUAUAGCCUCCACCUCUCACAGACUCCAGUUGCCAGAUUGUUAGUUUCCGCUUUGUGUAUGAUCUGGACCGCCUGACCCUGCCUUAUCUAAUAAACCUGUGCUUAACCAUAAUCGUGCCUCUGUGCUGUGCAUGUGGGUCCGCCACCUGUCGGCCAAGUUGAGAGUGUUCCCGUCCCUGUCGGCCACGUUGAGGGCGUUCCCGUCCCUGUCGGCCACGUUGAGGCUGCCCCAGUUCCCGUCCCUGUUGGCCAAGUUGAGGCUGCCCCAGUUCCCGUCCCUGUCGGCCAAGUUGAGGGCGUUCCCGUCCCUGUCGGCCAAGUUGAGGGCGUUCCCGUCCCUGUCGGCCAAGUUGAGGGCGUUCCCGUCCCUGUCGGCCAAGUUGAGGGCGUUCCCGUCCCUGUCGGCCAAGUUGAGGGCGUUCCCGUCCCUGUCGGCCACGUUGAGAGCGUUCCCGUCCCUGUCGGCCACGUUGAGGCUGCCCCAGUUCCCGUCCCUGUCGGCCAAGUUGAGGCUGCCCCAGUUCCCGUCCCUGUCGGCCAAGUUGAGGCUGCCCCAGUUCCCGUUCCUGUCGGCCAAGUUGAGGCUGCCCCAGUCCCCGUUCCUGUCGGCCCUGUAGCGGUCGUUCCAGUCCCCGUUCCUGUCGGCCCUGUAGCGGUCGUUCCAGUCCCCGUUCCUGUCGGCCCUGUAGCGGUCGUUCCAGUCCCCGUUCCUGUUGACCCGAGAGAGGUCGUUCCAGCCCCUGUCACCCUCGGAGCCGCAGCGCCUGCGCACCUCCAGGAGGAGACGGCGCCAGCUGCAGUCCCCGCGCACCUCCAGGAGGAGGUCGCGCCAGCUGCAGUCCCGGCGGACCUCCAGGAGGGGGUCGCGCCCGCCGCAGUCCCGCCGGACCUCCAGGAGGGGGUCGUGCCCGCCGCAGUCCCGGCGGACCUCCAGGAGGGGGUCGCGCCCGCCGCAGUCCCGGCGGACCUCCAGGAGGGGGUCGUUCCCGCCGCAGCUCCCGACGAUCCCCAGGAGGGGGUCGCUCCUGCCGCAGCGCCCGUCGCAGUCCCGGCGGACCUCCAGGAGGGGGUCGUUCCCGUCGCAGCUCCCGCUGCACCUGCAUCCGCACCUGGCGGCCCGGCUCCGGCCGCACCUGCAUCGGUUCCUGGCGGCCCGGCUCCGGCCGCUCCUGCAUCGGUUCCUGGCGGCUCGGCUCCGGCCGCAUCUGCAUCGGUUCCUGGCGGCUGGGCUCCGGCCGCAUCUGCACCUGUCUCUCGUCGCGGUGAUCCAAGGAGGACGCCGCUGGUUCCUGUCUCUCGUCGCGGUGGUCCAAGGAGGACGCCGCUGGUUCCCGUCUCUCGUCGCGGUGGUCCAAGGAGGACGCCGCUGGUUCCCGUCUCUCGUCGCGGUGGUCCAAGGAGGACGCCGCUGGUUCCCGUCUCUCGUCGCGGUGGUCCAAGGAGGACGCCGCUGGUUCCCGUGUCUCGUCGCGGUGGUCCAAGGAGGACGCCGCUGGUUCCCGUGUCUCGUCGCGGUGGUCCAAGGAGGACGCCGCUGGUUCCCGUCUCUCGUCGCGGUGGUCCAAGGAGGACGCCACUGGUUCCCGUGUCUCGUCGCGGUGGUCCAAGGAGGACGCCGCUGGUUCCCGUCUCUCGUCGCGGUGGUCCAAGGAGGACGCCGCUGGUUCCCGUCUCUCGUCGCGGUGGUCCAAGGAGGAUGCCGCUGGUUCCUGCCUCGUCCUUGGCUCGGCUGCCGGACUGGUGGCCUCGCCCUCGGCGCCUCCUGCUGCGUGGAUGGCGCUGCCUCCUGCGGCGCCGUCCGCCUCGACUCCUCAACCUCCUGGAUCAGCGUCCGCCAGGAGGACGCUGGGGCACUGGGUGUGCCCCUCUGCCUCAGCGGCGGCUGGGCAGGGUCUCGCCGCGUCUCCACCCGCCUUAAGAGGGAGACGUCGUUGUUGUUUUUCCUGUUCGUGGACUUUUGUCUUGUCGUGUGGACUCUUGUUUUGGCCCUCCUCCGGUCCUCCCUCCACCCACCCUGCUCGUUUGCCUUGAGGGGUUGGGAUUCGGUCCCUCCUCCUGGGACCACCCUCCGCCCGCCAUGGUUUGGGGGGGGGGGGGGCUUCCGUGGGCGCCGUGGAAGGCGCCAUAGGGGGGGGGGGUACUGUCAUGAUUUGGGUUUUGUUUCCAGUUGUUUACUGUCAUGAUUCAUGUCAUCUGGCACAUCCUGUUUUAUUUUGUUAACUUCCUGUCACUCUCCGGUUCUCAUUAUCCACACCUGUUGCCAAUCAGCAAUCAGUAUCAGUAUAUAGCCUCCACCUCUCACAGACUCCAGUUGCCAGAUUGUUAGUUUCCGUACUCUUUCCAGCAUCUCAUGUUUAGCUACUCGUGUUUUGACCCUGAUCGCCUUGACCAUUGCUUCUGCCUGAACCUCGUGUAUCCCGCUGCCCGUGAGAGAACCGUGCCUAAUAAUCUGACCGUGAGUUUGUCUUAUCCUUGCCUGUACUUUUGCCGAGUCUGCUUGUGUAACGAACCCUGCCUGGACAUUGGAUUAGAGAUCGCCUGCUCCCGUGUGUAGUACUUCACUGAACGCUUUGUGUAUGAUCUGGACCGCCUGACCCUGCCUUAUCUAAUAAACCUGUGCUUAACCAUAAUCGUGCCUCUGUGCUGUGCAUGUGGGUCCGCCACCUGCCCAAGUCUGACACUUUCUACAGCCCGAUGACUUAGAUACAACACCACUUUGCUCAACAUGCUGAACGUUACUAUCAAGAGGUCGUCUUGAAGUCUAGUGCUUUGCUAAGACACUACUCUGCUCAGGCUGCAGAGUUGAUCGUAUUGACUGAAGCUAGUAAACUAGCAGAAGGAGAGUCUGUUACCAUCUACACAGACUCCACAGAUGCUCUGUGGAAGCAUAGGAAGCUUUUUAAGUCUGAUUGCAAACCUAUCUCACAUCAUGAUUAGGUUCUGCUGUUUUUAACCGUCCGACUCACACCAUCAGUGACGACUUUGUUUCUGCCGACAUGCAGCAGCAGAUGCUGCUGCGAAGGUCGCUGCCCAACAACCCCUCCCUCUCCUGAUCCUUGUUCCCUCUCCUCGUUUCCUUUCCACCCUCUCCUUCCUCAUCUCCCUGUGCUUUAAACAUUUUCUACCUCACAGGAACGCAGACUCUGGCAGACGAAUGUUUCCAUCUGUAGCAAUGGAGUCUGGUUUAGGCCUGAUGGCAGCCGUGCCGCCCAAACACCUUUUCCCCAUAAUUCAGAUUUCCCAACAGGUGAAAACAGUCGACAGGACCACUACACCAUCCAACCAGGGGACUGGGCGAUCGUUAAGGAGUUUAGGAGGAAGCAUUGGGACUCCAAACGAUGGCGUUUCCAAACGACCCCUUCCAGGUCCUUCUGACGACCCACACGGCUGUAAAGAUCGCAGAAAGAGUGACUUGGAUCCAACUCCAUCCAGGAAGGUCCCGGAUCCGACAGACGACCCUCCAUCUACACCACUCGGAGAAUUCACCACUAACGAAAGGAACUGAGAAGAACGACCCUCGCUGUGCUCACACACGCACUGAGGCGAGGCUGCGUUGACCAUUCAGCUAAAGGUGUGAGCCAAGCGCCGCCUGAAGCUGCGCCGGUGAAUCACAGUAUCAGACCAUACAUCUACACACACGUUCCUGAGAAAACACACACACGAGCAGCCUUGAGUUGCCGACGCUGGACGACGUGUAGACUCUUCACAUCACGGGAGUGACAGUGACUCAGACGACAUUGGGAGGAAACCUGGCGGUGAUAACGAAUCCCAAGUGUCUCUGUGAUCAGCUGAUCACAACCUGAAGAACCCCAACGAACUGUCAAUACUUCAACACACAGGUUGGAAACAAUCUAACGCUGUUCAACAGGACGAAGCAGAAUGUUACAAGACAUCAAUUGUAACCUUGUUUUGUUAAACUUCAUUUUAUGUUACAUGAAUUAUUGCCUUUAUCAUAUGAUGUUUCCAUGUAACUUUGCACACUACUAUUGAAGAAGAAAAUUUCACAACAACACUGAGUUAAAUAUCCUGAAGUUGACUUGGUGUUUGAUUUGCUCACAAUCACUUUAUUCACUGCUACAAAAAUUUUUUAUCCUUCAUCUACAGAUGAAAGACAACACAAGAGGAAAUAUGCAUCAUCAUUCUGGUUUAAUCCCUGAUUCUCUUAUUCAUUCUAGACCCAAAUGUACUGAAAGUUAUCCAACUGUGUCAGGUUCUGGCUCUGUUCCUUGUUUUAUUUUGGUUCCUGUUUCCAUUUCCGGUUUUAUUUUGGUAGCACUCCCGGUUUCUGUUUCUGCUCCUGCUUUACUUCCUGUUUACCCGUUGUCACAGCUGUCCCCUGUCAGUACCGGUCUUCAUUACACACACCUGUUUAGUAUCAGUAAUCAAGUCACGUUGUAUUUAACCACCACCUGUGUCCUCAGUUCCCCGCCAGAUCGUUGUUUGUGUGUACCUUGUCAUAGUCCAGUUCAUUGAUCCUGUCCGGCCGUAUAUCAUGUACCCUGUUCCUGACUGCUGAUUUUGAGCCUGCCUUAUCCCUGCCUGUCUUGUCUGCCCUGGUCUUCUGUUCUGCCUGUUGCUGAUCUUGCCUGCCUGACCACGACCUGACGCUCGACGAUUCCGGUAUUGUAAUCUCUCUCGUGUAUGAACCUUGCCUGUCCCUGACGCCGUCUCUGCCUGUCCUCGUUGAACCUGGAAUAAAACCUUCCCUAUCACUUUCCAAGCUGUGUCGUGCUGUGCAUGUGGGUCCUCAUCUGUGCGAUCGUGACAGAACGAUCUGGCCAAACUUGGACCCAGCCAGCACUCAGCCGUCGCCCAGGUCAGUGACUGUUUUUGUUUCUUGCUUUUUGGCUACGAGUAUCAGUCAACCACGGGGGGAAUGGAGUUUACAUGCGCCGAGCUACCCAGCGACCUACGCGUUUAUUUUAAAAUCCUCGCGGAGGAUUACCGAAGGGUGCUCGAUCCGAAAACCCAGCGAUGUGCCGUGGAGGUGGCGAUGUGGACCUUGGAGGACGAGGACAGCGUGCUAGAGCGCCCCAGUGUCCGUCUCCUCUACGAACGAUUGUGCGCGCGACUCGGCGAGUUGGACAGCGCGCUCCGCACCACGCCAGCCCCGGUCGCACCGCCCAUGGUUUCGGUUUCCUUCUCUCAGCCCCGUCGGACCGUCGUGCCUGCACCCACCUGCCCAGCUCCAUGUUUGCUCCGCUGGGAGGACUCCCUGCACUCAUGCGGUCCUCAGUCUCCAGUCCAGCCGCGCUCUGUUCAGUCUCCAGUCCAGCCGCGCUCUGUUCGGUCUCCAGUCCAGCCGCGCUCUGUUCGGUCUCCAGUCCAGCCGCGCCCUGUUCAGCCUUCAGUCCAGCCGCGCCCUGUUCAGCCUUCAGUCCAGCCGCGCCCUGUUCAGCCUUCAGUCCAGCCGCGCCCUGUUCAGCCUUCAGUCCAGCCGCGCCCUGUUCAGCCUUCAGUCCAGCCGCGCCCUGUUCAGCCUUCAGUCCAGCUGCGCCCUGUUCAGCCUUCAGUCCAGCCGCGCCCUGUUCAGCCUUCAGUCCAGCCGCGCCCUGUUCAGCCUUCGGUCCCGUUCCAGUCGAGCCCAGCUCAGGUCCCGUUCCAGCCGAGCCCAGCUCAGGUUCCCGUCCAGUCGAGUCGAGUCCCGUCCCAGUCCAGUCGAGUCCCGUCCCAGUCCAGUCGAGUCCCGUCCAGGCCCCCGUCCAGUCGAGUCUAGUCCAGGCCCCCGUCCAGUCGAGUCACGUCCAGACCCCAGUUCAGUCGAGUCCUGUCCCAGUACAGUCGAGUCCUGUCCCAGUACAGUCGAGUCCUGUCCCAGUCCAGUCGAGUCACGCCUGGCGCUGCCUCCUGCGGCGCCGUCCGCCUCGACUCCUCAGCCUCCUGGAUUAGCGUCAGCCAGGAGGACAUCGCCGUUCGGGGGGGUUCCCGUGGACGCUGGCCCAGCCCAAGGGCACUGGGUGUGGCCCCCUGCCUCAGACGGCUGUGCAGGAUCUCGCCGCGUCUCCACCCUCCGUGAGGGAAUUCCUGGACUCUGCGUUUUCCUGGCCGUGGACUUUCUGUUUUUGUGUUGUGGACUCUUGAUCUGACCCUCCUCCGGUCCUCCCUCCACCCAACCUGCUUGGUUGCCUUGAGGGGGUGGGAUUCGGUCCCUCCUCCUGGGACCGCCCUCCGCCCGCCCUGGUUUGGGGGGGGGGGCUUCCGUGGGCGCCGUGGAAGACGCCCUAGGGGGAGGGGUACUGUCAGGUUCUGGCUCUGUUCCUUGUUUUAUUUUGGUUCCUGUUUCCAUUUCCGGUUUUAUUUUGGUAGCACUCCCGGUUUCUGUUUCUGUUCCUGCUUUACUUCCUGUUUACCCGUUGUCACAGCUGUCCCCUGUCAGUACCGGUCUUCAUUACACACACCUGUUUAGUAUCAGUAAUCAAGUCAUGUUGUAUUUAACCACCACCUGUGUCCUCAGUUCCCCGCCAGAUCGUGUGUACCUCGUCAUAGUCCAGUUCAUUGAUCCUGUCCGGCCGUAUAUCAUGUACCCUGUUCCUGACUGCUGAUUUUGAGCCUGCCUUAUCCCUGCCUGUCUUGUCUGCCCUGGUCUUCUGUUCUGCCUGUUGCUGAUCUUGCCUGCCUGACCACGACCUGACGCUCGACGAUUCCGGUAUUGUAAUUUCUCUCGUGUAUGAACCUUGCCUGUCCUCGUUGAACCCGCAUACCUGGAAUAAAACCUUCCCUAUCACUUUCCAAGCUGUGUCGUGCUGUGCAUGUGGGUCCUCAUCUGUGCGAUUGUGACAACCUGAUUAGAGGUCUCAUCAUGCGUGCGACCUCAGCAACACUCUCGUAUCAAAUGACACAAUGCUCUAUGUUCAAAAACCCCAACUCUAAUUCACUUAAUGACUUUGACAAUAGUCUUAGGCAAUCUGAUCAAAAAAUAUAAUUCUGAUACAAAUACGAUUAUUGACUUAUUUUCUUCACAUGCUCAUACAGAGGUUAUUCUUGUAUAACUACCCACCAAAACAGCUCCCAAACUUUUAUCCCUAAGUUACAUGCAUUUUAUGUGAAGGUGUAUUUUUGAAUUUUGACUUAAUACACUCACUGUUUCAUUUGUAAGGGCCGUUAAUAUUUCAAAAUGCAAUGUUUGAAAUUUUUUAUUAUUUUAGUGUUUGAUUAAUGUGUAAUCAAAAGGGGGGAAUGUAAUGGAAAAAUUUUGCCUUGUGCUAUUUCUUAUCCAACACACUCGUCAUGUGCUGGUUAGGUGCAAUACUGAACAUUCUUACACAAACAAAUAAUCUCUUGUGCCCUGACGUACAUCAAGUCUAAACAUCUGAUGUUCCAUUUGACUGACUAAUAAUUUAUGAUAUAUGUUUGUCUUUUACACCCGGACUCUGGCUCCAUCCUAUCUGACUCCCCACCAGACCCAAGGCUGUUAAAGCGAAUGCAUCUUGUCUUGGAAGCUCAGUGUUCCUUCCUUUGGAUAACAAGACAUGACGAUGCAGAAGUGAGAAAGCAAACAUUCUCACUCACAGCGAGAUAAAGUGGCACAAACAAUUCCAUUGCUGCAGCGAAACAUUCCACCAGAGCCAGAGAAAGGGGUUAAAAGGCAGAGACAACUUGAGGAUCGUGGGCUCUUUGCAUCACACCUCCGUGGUGUGUGCACUGAUCUCCCCAGCUGGUUUUUGGUUUGUUGAUGUGCACGAUCAACAUCCAUGCUUUUUAUUUGCUUUCCCCAUUAUUUUAUUUUCUUUAUUAUUUCAAUAAAUCGCACAAAAGGACAA